GCCUGGCCAUCUUGGGAGAUUAAGUUUUAUAUUAGGUUACUUGUUGAUACGAGUUUACCCAUGUCGACUAGGUUGGUCAGAUAUGAAAUGUGCUGAUCCAAAUUAGAUUUGUAAUUAUAUCAAAUGUAUGUGACUAAUUAGAAGAGAUCUGAACUCAAAUCUUCUCACUAAAUAUUAAGUUUACUGGUCUUCCACCAUUGUAGAG
rnacentral:lncRNA from 1 species